UGAUCUGUGGGGGAACAAGAAUAAAAUAGACGUUUCAAUAUCUAACUUCUUUUGGUAUUUUAUACAAGCAAUUUUUGUCUUAACCCAAAGUGUCAUUUUUCGUGUUAGACAAUUUGGUCACACUGUCCGUGUUUUCAGCAUGUUGAGGGUCUGACAGUCCGCCAUGUCUGUGUGAACGUGUGGUAGAACAAGCGCAAAAGAAAAAACUCAAAAUGAAAAACAAUACAUACGCAAAAAAUCGAUCAAACUCGAAAGCAUUUUUUUUUGAUUGCAAAGAAAACUCACACACAAAAUGGCGCAACCAAAACAAAAACUAUGCUGCAGCUAAAGCUGAAAAAGUGGCAACGCGUUUAUGUAAUAGAAUUUUUUGCAGGCGUUGUGUAUGUGUGUGCGUGUACGUGUGUCGUACGCGCCACAAAACGGAAUGCGCGAAAAUGGGCAUUGAAAGAGCAGCGCAAAGAGCAAGUGCUGAUAGCAUGGCAGCGCAAUGGGCGCGCGCGUGCUACAAACAAAUUGAAACGAAAUGAAAUGUUAUGAAGCUCGGAAGGGGGGAAUGUGGAAGGAAAAAAACACAGCACAAGUCCUGUAAUUUUUGGAAUGAAACAAGCCGGCAGCGCCAACCCCAACAAAACAAAAAUAUGUUGACACACGGACGUUUGGUAGUUGUUGCGCCUAGAAGCAAUAGAAACAGACAAACAUUUUUUACUUGUGUCUUUUUAAUAAGAAUUUGACAUACGCUUUAAAUAUGUAUGGCUAUUUUCGAUUGUUUUCUGAUUAGACCAAUUAUAGUAGUCGAGCAUAUAUGUAUGUACAUAUAUUUACAGUUGUAUGCAAUAGCAACAAUGGCUGGCGACAUUUUACGCAGUGAACAGCGUGUUCUCAUAUGUUCUGCUGGACAGUUACAUGCACACACAUUACACUCAUACAACGGCACGCAGCUUAAGCUUUGAA